rnacentral:lncRNA from 1 species
GUCGGCAUGGCUGAUCGGGAUCCGGGCCGCGGGGAAGCCCUGCUGGUCAUCCAGGCGUGCCGGGCCUCACACCUCCUCAGCGAGGGUUUUACAGUUGGGGUGCGGGUGUGGGUGUGGGUGGUGACACCGAUGGGGCAGCAGCCACUUGUUAGGGAUGUGGUGUAGUCAUUAGCUUUGACAAGACCAGCAAAACGGGGUUCCCAGAAGACAAAGCGUGGUGGUCCUGUCUGGCAGAGCUUCUGAUUGGAAGUUCAGCUCAGUGCAACCAGAACUCAAUCCGGACUCCAUGUCAGUGUGACCCUGUAGAAGUCGUGAUGCUCACAAACCUGGGAGGAACGCCAG